rnacentral:rRNA from 1 species
GACGAACGCUGGCGGCGUGCCUAAUACAUGCAAGUCGAACGAGAGCGACCGGUGCUUGCACUGGUCAAUCUAGUGGCGAACGGGUGAGUAACACGUGGGUAACCUGCCCAUCAGAGGGGGAUAACAUUCGGAAACGGAUGCUAAAACCGCAUAGGUUCUACAGUCGCAUGACUGAAGAAGGAAAAGAGGCUUCGGCUUCUGCUGAUGGAUGGACCCGCGGUGCAUUAGCUAGUUGGUGAGGUAACGGCUCACCAAGGCCGUGAUGCAUAGCCGACCUGAGAGGGUGAUCGGCCACAUUGGGACUGAGACACGGCCCAAACUCCUACGGGAGGCAGCAGUAGGGAAUCUUCCGCAAUGGACGCAAGUCUGACGGAGCAACGCCGCGUGAGUGAAGAAGGAUUUCGGUUCGUAAAACUCUGUUGUUAGAGAAGAACAGCGCAU